rnacentral:rRNA from 1 species
CAUAUAAGUUGUAGGGAACUGAAAGGGACCGACCCUUCGGGAGCUUAUACAGGUGUUGCAUGGCUGUCGUCAGCUCGUGUCGUGAGAUGUUCGGUUAAGUCCGCUAACGAGCGCAACCCUCGCCGUAUGUUACAAGUGUCAUACGGGACUGCCGGUAAAAAGCCGGAGGAAGGUGAGGAUGAUGUCAAGUCAGCAUGACCUUUAUAUCCAGGGCUACACACACGCUACAAUGGUCUGUACAAUUGGUUGCCAAGCCGCGAGGCGGAGCCAAUCCGUAAAGCAGGCCUCAGUUCAGAUUGCAGUCUGCAACUCGACUGCAUGAAGCCGGAGUUGCUAGUAACCGCAGGUCAGCAAUACUGCGGUGAAUACGUUCCCGGGUCUU